AGUGAACGCUGGCGGUAGGCCUAACACAUGCAAGUCGAACGGCAGCACAGUAAGAGCUUGCUCUUACGGGUGGCGAGUGGCGGACGGGUGAGGAAUACAUCGGAAUCUACUUUUUCGUGGGGGAUAACGUAGGGAAACUUACACUAAUACCGCAUACGACCUACGGGUGAAAGCAGGGGAUCUUCGGACCUUGCGCGAUUGAAUGAGCCGAUGUCGGAUUAGCUAGUUGGCGGGGUAAAGGCCCACCAAGGCGACGAUCCGUAGCUGGUCUGAGAGGAUGAUCAGCCACACUGGAACUGAGACGCGGUCCAGACUCCUACGGGAGGCAGCAGUGGGGAAUAGUGGACAAUGGGCGCAAGCCUGAUCCAGCCAUACCGCGUGGGUGAAGAAGGCCUUCGGGUUGUAAAGCCCUUUUGUUGGGAAAGAAAAGCAGCAGGUUAAUACCCCGCUGUUCUGACGGUACCCAAAGAAUAAGCACCGGCUAACUUCGUG
rnacentral:rRNA from 1 species